GACGAACGCUGGCGGUGUGCUUAACACAUGCAAGUCGAACGGUAAGGCCCUUUCGGGGGUACACGAGUGGCGAACGGGUGAGUAACACGUGAGUAACCUGCCCUCAUCUCUGGGAUAACAGUCGGAAACGGUUGCUAAUACUGGAUAUGAGCUUGCAAGGCAUCUUGUGGGUUGGAAAGAUUUUUUUUUGGUUGGGGAUGGACUCGCGGCCUAUCAGCUUGUUGGUGAGGUAGUGGCUCACCAAGGCUUCGACGGGUAGCCGGCCUGAGAGGGCGACCGGCCACAUUGGGACUGAGAUACGGCCCAAACUCCUACGGGAGGCAGCAGUGGGGAAUAUUGCACAAUGGACGGAAGUCUGAUGCAGCAACGCCGCGUGCGGGAUGACGGCCUUCGGGUUGUAAACCGCUUUCAAUUGUGACGAAGCUUUUUUGUGACGGUAGCAGUGGAAGAAGCACCGGCUAACUACGUG
rnacentral:rRNA from 1 species